rnacentral:rRNA from 1 species
GACGAACGCUGGCGGCGUGCCUAAUACAUGCAAGUAGAACGCUGAAGGAGGAGCUUGCUUCUCUGGAUGAGUUGCGAACGGGUGAGUAACGCGUAGGUAACCUGCCUGGUAGCGGGGGAUAACUAUUGGAAACGAUAGCUAAUACCGCAUAAGAGUAGAUGUUGCAUGACAUUUGCUUAAAAGGUGCAAUUGCAUCACUACCAGAUGGACCUGCGUUGUAUUAGCUAGUUGGUGGGGUAACGGCUCACCAAGGCGACGAUACAUAGCCGACCUGAGAGGGUGAUCGGCCACACUGGGACUGAGACACGGCCCAGACUCCUACGGGAGGCAGCAGUAGGGAAUCUUCGGCAAUGGACGGAAGUCCGACCGAGCAACGCCGCGUGAGUGAAGAAGGUUUUCGGAUCGUAAAGCUCUGUUGUAAGAGAAGAACGAGUGUGAGAGUGGAAAGUUCACACUGUGACGGUAUCUUACCAGAAAGGGACGGCUAACUACGUG